CCUACGGGAGGCAGCAGUGGGGAAUAUUGGGCAAUGGGCGCAAGCCUGACCCAGCAACGCCGCGUGAAUGAAGAAGGCUUUCGGGUUGUAAACUUCUUUUGACAGGGAAGAGCAGAAGACGGUACCUGUCGAAUAAGCCACGGCUAACUACGUGCCAGCAGCCGCGGUAAUACGUAGGUGGCAAGCGUGGUCCGGAUUUACUGGGGGUAAAGGGCGGGUAGCCGGGCUGACAAGUCAGAUGUGAAAUCCGGGGGCUCAACCCCCGAACUGCAUUUGAAACUGUUGGUCUUGAGUAUCGGAGAGGCAGGCGGAAUUCCUAGUGUAGCGGUGAAAUGCGUAGAGAUUAGGAGGAACACCAGUGGCGAAGGCGGCCUGCUGGACGACAACUGACGGUGAGGCGCGAAAGCGUGGGGAGCAAACAGGAUUAGAUACCCUGGUAGUC
rnacentral:rRNA from 1 species